AUUGAACGCUGGCGGAAUGCUUUACACAUGCAAGUCGAACGGCAGCACGGACUUCGGUCUGGUGGCGAGUGGCGAACGGGUGAGUAAUGUAACGGAACGUGCCCAGUCGUGGGGGAUAACGUAGUGAAAAUUACGCUAAUACCGCAUACGAUCUAUGGAUGAAAGCGGGGGAUAGCAAGACCUCGCGCGAUUGGAGCGGCCGAUAUCAGAUUAGGUAGUUGGUGGGGUAAAGGCCCACCAAGCCAACGAUCUAUAGCUGGUCUGAGAGGACGACCAGCCACACUGGAACUGAGACACGGUCCAGACUCCUACGGGAGGCAGCAGUGGGGAAUUUUGGACAAUGGGCGAAAGCCUGAUCCAGCCAUUCCGCGUGCAGGAUGAAGGCCCUCGGGUUGUAAACUGCUUUUGUACAGAACGAAAAGGUUUCUACUAAUACUAGGAGCUCAUGACGGUACUGUAAGAAUAAGCACCGGCUAACUACGUGCCAGCCGCCGCGGUAA
rnacentral:rRNA from 1 species